rnacentral:lncRNA from 10 species
CACACUCGCUCCAGUGAUGUUUGAGCCCCAGCAUAGAUCAGCAUGCCAGGAAGCAGCCCACCGGACCCACCCCUGAUCAUGGCACUGGACAUUGUUUUCCGUGCUUUUCUCAGGCUGGUUUCUGCCUGUCCCAACCCUGGCCAUGGCUGACAAGGGGCCCAGGGACACUGGAGCAGAGAGACCUGCUGGUCCUUGGGGUUUCUUGCAAGCUGCCUCUAAAGGGAAAUAUCCCAGGAGUGAUGAAAACUUGAAGAUCGAGGAUUGGAUAUAAGCUCAGAGGUGAAGGAGGGAAAUUCCUCGGGUCAACUUUAGCGGACUGAUCCACGGGGUCUGCCAAGAGACAGGAGCUCGAGGGUUAAACCCAAGCACUCGGGAGUCAGAUGUAUGAAUCUGAAUCUCAGCCUCUCGGCUUGCUGUGUAAUCUCAGGCAAGUGACUUUUCUGUUCUGUAAAUCAGGCUGAUAGCGGGGGAACCUCUCUCACAGGGCUGCUACAAAGAUUGCAUGAGAUUUUGCUCAACAAAUAUUAGCUGUUGGCUCCAGAGUUUAAUACCUCUGAUCACUACAAGCUUUGAAGGCAAGAUAAAAUAACUUCAACAUGUGAGUACCAGGAGGCCUUGGUGAAAAGCAAGCCUGCCGGGAGAUAAUGCCUGGCUGGGUCAGGAUUCUUGGUGCUUAUUGACCACUGGGCACUUCAGAGCAGAACUCAUCAAAGCCUCUGUAUUGGGACAAGGGCUAGGGUGGAGGGGAGGAUUGGGAAGGGAGAGGGGAGACUGUCCUUCUUUCUACUAAAAGUUACUGGCAAGAGAAUGGGAAUUAACCAGGCCUGGAAAAGUAAUUUAGGUAUUAGAACUUUGAACUCUUUUUUUAAAAACAAAAGACAAAAACAGCUUUAUUGGGAUAUAAUUGACAAAUAAAAAUUGUGUAUAUUUAAGGUGUACAACUUGAUGUUUUGAUAUAUGUACACAUUAUGACAUGAUCACUACCAUCAAGCUAAUUCACAUAUCCAUCACCUCAUACAGUCACUAUUUUCUUCUUUGUGUGUGU